rnacentral:misc_RNA from 1 species
AAGUCGUAACAAGGUAACCGUAGGUGAACCUGCGGUUGGAUCAUUACCAAAUAUCCAAUGGGGGGCUGAGAGGGGGUUAAACCUUUUUCUCCUUUCCAUUUCCCACCUCUUGUGCAAUGUAAUGUAUUUGGCGGGCCAUGCUUGUAGGGGAAUGUUUUAUUACUAUUCUCCUACAAGAUUGCUUAUGAAGGCGGACCUAUACGGGCCACCAUCAACCGUCAGAUUAACCCACCUAAUAUUAUUUAUAACAACAAUCUGACGUUUAUAUGCUAGGGUACGUGUUUGCGUACACUGGAACAUAACCGAAAACAACUUUUGACAACGGAUCUCUUGGCUCUC